rnacentral:rRNA from 1 species
UACGUAGGGAGCAAGCGUUGUCCGGAAUCAUUGGGCGUAAAGCGCGCGUAGGUGGCCCCAUAAGUCCGCUGUGAAAGUCAAAGGCUCAACCUUUGAAAGCCGGUGGAUACUGUGGGACUAGAGUACGGAAGAGGCGAGUGGAAUUCCUGGUGUAGCGGUGGAAUGCGCAGAUAUCAGGAGGAACACCAAUAGCGAAGGCAGCUCGCUGGGACGUUACUGACACUGAGGCGACGAAAGCGUGGGGAGCGAAC